GUACUCAUUCCAAAGUUUUAUUGACAUUUUAAAGUAGACAAUCAAUAACCCAUGGUUCCCCCAUGAGUAACAGGGCAUUCAACUUAAACCCCAAAGCACAUCCAGUUAACUGGUACUGUAUAACAGAAGUUCCACCCCUGAUGGUCAGAUGACCACAUUGAAGCUUGAGUGGAGUUCUACUGUGUAGAAAGAAAAAAGAAACCAAUCAGGCUGCAAAAAAGUUUACAUGACAAGUGCAAACAGCAGGUAACCAUAGCAACCUCAGAAAUAAGUGGAACGGAAAGGGUAUAAUCAGCAAAUUCAUUUGGCAGAAUCUCUUCAUCACAGGUUUUCUAAAUGACCAUAUCAGACAGAGCUAAUAUCCAAUCUCCAUGAAAAAGUCAAUGGAUGUUAAUCAUCCCACUGGUCAUGUAAUACUGAUGUAUAUAUUAGUGUAAAUACUCACCAUUUUUCAAGCAUGAGCAGCCACCCUAUAGGAAAGAACACAUGAUAAGUGCAAGAAUACUGCAGAUAUGGAAUACAGAGACAUCUGAAUCCAGAUCAGUCAUCAAGGCUUAAUGUCCUCAACAAGAUCAGAGACCUGAUUCACUCAUCCUCUCCAGAUAACAGCAAAUGGGUCACACAAUCAAGUGACAACAUACCUGGAGUGACGACAUCAAGACAGUCAGUCAUCCACACCAUCUAGAUGCUAUAGACGAAAGAUAAGUUUAACAGCCAGUGGAGACAGAAAUCACAUACACGAGUCUUUAUUUGAUACAUCAGCUAGGAGCGAAAGACAUUGCACAUGGUUCUACAUGGAGAUUCUGCUGAACUAUGCAGUCAUCACUUGUAUCAUGUUCUAUAAAAAUGCGCACACACAAAAAAAAACCCCUCACCUUAGCAUAGGUUCAUCAGCUUCAUUUCUGCAAUAAAAUGGGAUGGGGUAGAAAAAAAGAAAAUUACCACCACAAAUUAUAUUACAUUAACAUACUAGGGAAUGACGGAUGCAUCAGCUAGGAGCGAAAGACAUUGCACAUGGUUCUACAUGGAGAUUCUGCUGAACUAUGCAGUCAUCACUUGCAGUGAAAUUAAAGUCUUUCCACAAACUGAAGUCCUUACCAUUCAGCCAGUUUCACUGGGCCACAUCUUGCACUUGACACAGGAGCCCUGGAGGAAGAUGACACUUAUUACAAUGUGCAUGCUAAAAAAAAAAAAAGAAUUAUGAGGACAUGCUACUGUUUCAGUACAAGUAUGUCUUUCACUCUUAUUCAGAGAGAUUCCCAUUGUAUUAAUAACAAUCAUCAUAAACAGUAGACAGUUCACACUAUUGCAGCAUUUAAAUAAACUGCCAAAAGCUUACCUCACUCAUUCCAUCAUCCUCAGAGAACACCCAGUCACCCUAGGAUGAAAAGCAAGGGGGAAUAAAAGUUAUUUCCAGAAACACUAGGAGGACUCCAGUACAUAAAUACAGUGCCUCAGAUUAAAUAUUUGGUGGUUGCAAUCUCAUCAGUCUUGGAUCAAGAGUAGCAAAUAAUGUCAUCAUAGAACACGUUGGAAGUGGAAGCGUUUAAAGACACAAAACAUACCUUUACACAAGCACGGCAUACAGAGUUCCAUCAGGCACUACAAGAAAGGACUGGAUUAAAAGCUUUCCUGUCUGUGUUAUCAGAGAAAGUGGAUCAAGCACCCUCAGAUUCAAGCUCUCAGAAAUAACUUCUGUCCACUACUCUUAUUCAUUUUACUCAUCACAGGCAAUAAGAGGAAAAAGAAAAAAAAAUCUUCAAGAGUACAUACCUUUAUUUACAGCGAGUCCAUUCCCACUAAAUGCUGCAACAAGCACAUAAGCCAACAAUUAACCCUUGUAACAUGCAAGGUAAAAACAUAAGCUAGCUAAAUUCAAGCCUCAGAAGUAUUUUUUUCAGAAACCACUUCUGUCCACUACUCUUAUUCAAUUUUCUUCAUCACAGGCUUGGGUAGAGUUCACGUGCUUAAGGAACUAAAACACUGCUUUUUGGUAGAUUAUAGGCAGCAUUUACGGCUGAGUAGAAAAAGUGGACUUACCAGUACACGGAUCUGCUGAAUCCAGCACCUUCUGCCACACACACGGGGGGGAGGGGAGAGAGAGAAAGAGAGAUUAAUAAACGCUGCAUAGACGCCACGUGGGACGCAGGAGGUGAACUAGAAGAAAAGCCAAUAACUACCAUAUGCUAGGUCAGAAAAGUUGGCAUUCAUCAGAUUUUGUCAGAUGUCCCUACCAACAUAAUUUUCAUCAUGUGCACACGGAUAGAAAUCAAUAACUAGCGUUAAACAGAAAGGGAACGAAACCCAACCCAAGCUAAGCUACAGAGUUAGCUAGAUAAAAUGGGCGCGGAGAAGCCAUUCAGCUAGUUUAACCUCGACGCGCAAAUAUUCAAGAGAAAAAUAAUGCAUACAGUUAUACGCAUCCACAACUAAAAAUCUUCCAUGACUUGACUGAAAAGAGGGGGGGGAGCACUCAUCACCCAUGCACGUGUUGCUAAAGGCUAAGCUAAGACGCUAGAAAAACCCCCAAAACUCAUUAAAAUUAAAAACGCAUUUAAGACAACUAAAGAGAUAUUUACUUAGACAAACAGGAGAGAGGGGGGAAAAACAUGCAUACAUAUAGUACUACCCAUCAGCACUUAAACAAUAAAAUCCACUCACACUUCUGUACACGCCAUGAGG
ensembl:lncRNA